GCUCAGCUAGCUCAGUNGGUAGAGCAAAAGACUCUUAAUCUCAGGGUCGUGGGUUUGAGUCCCACAUUGAGCA
rnacentral:tRNA from 1 species